rnacentral:sRNA from 1 species
AUAUAUUAGUACUAGAUUUUAACCCGCGGUACACCGCAGAGAAAAUUUAUUUUUUUAAAUUAGUAUAUAUAAAAUCUUGCAAAUUAUAUCUAUCUAUAAAAUAUUUUUAUUUUAUAGUUUACAAUUGUUAUUAAGUAACGUCCUUCCAAACCCGUUCCGCCAAACCCGUCAUGUAAAAAAACCCCGCGGUAUCCCGCUAAUUUAAAUUUAUAAUUAAAAUAAAUAUUUUACGGGAUUGCAAUUGUGUUUUAGUUUGUCAAACAAAAUUUUGUUUUAAAUAGUUGUCGAAAUCUAGUUCAAAUUUUGGAGAAAUAAGAUUUAGUGAAUUGAUAAGAAAUGUAUUUAGUUGCGUUUUGCUCAUUUUAAGGGAUUGCAAUUGUCUUUUUGGGUUGUCAAACAUUUUUUUGUUU